rnacentral:rRNA from 1 species
UACAGAGGGUGCGAGCGUUGUCCGGAAUCACUGGGCGUAAAGGGCGCGUAGGCGGCCGGGUAAGUAGGGGGUGAAAUCUCAUGGCUCAACUGUGAGGCUGCCUCCUAGACUGCCUGGCUCGAGCAUGGUAGAGGCGAGUGGAAUUCCCGGUGUAGCGGUGGAAUGCGUAGAGAUCGGGAAGAACAUCGGUGGCGAAGGCGGCUCGCUGGGCCAUUGCUGACGCUGAUGCGCGAAAGCGUGGGGAGCAAACAGG